rnacentral:tRNA from 4 species
AUGGAAAUCUCUGUAAUUUUUAGAUAGUA